rnacentral:lncRNA from 1 species
CUCUCUCUCUCUCUCUCUCUCUCUUGCUGUUUUUGCUUCCCUUAGCUCAUUGGCUGGUACCUUCAGCCUUUGAAAUCUGGAAAAUAUCCAAUCUUUUUUCAAAUCUGAGUUCAUUUUCUGAAUCUUUAAUCCCUCUCUUGCUGUAUAUUUGAUCUGGGCUUUCUGUCUCUCCCUUUCUUUCCCUGUUUCAGAUCAAAUUUUCAUCUAAUUCUUACUCAUAGCAUACCAAGACUUCACCUUUUUGUUUCCUUUGUUUCCCUUUUACCGUUGAAACUAUUCAUGCAGGUUCAAAAUCUUAUCUUUUUAUUGGGUUUCUGAUUGGUGUAGUUUGUUUUUCUUGAAAAUGGGUUCUUUUAUUUAGGAUGCAGAUGGGUAUUGUUUCUUAUGAAGCC